CUGUUGCUAGGGGCGACUGACCCUGUCUUGCCAGAGGGGCGGGCCUGAGGGCCUUGGAGGGCUGGCUGGGUCGGAUACCCCGCCCCAAGGCGGCGGGUCACCGCGGCGGUGCCCGCGUCCGCGACCGAGUUGGGAAAUGCCCUGGGCGGCGGGCUGAUCCCCGAGGACGGCUUGGCUGCACAGAUUACAGAUCUGGGUGGCUGGAUCACAGGGAGUGCCUGCCAAGGGCGAAAGCCGAGAUUGCAUCUCCAGGGCCGCGCUGUGCGGGCAAGCGCCUCCCAGGCGAUGCUAAACCGGAGCUUCGGGAAGAAGCCGAGCUGCGGCGUCUUCAGCUGUGACCCAGCCGCCGGGCAUUCAGUCUACGAGCCUUCCAGCGUGCCUCUCGGGGCUGCAGGGGACUGGGCUCAGCAUUCUGGGGCGGGGGUGGGGGGGGGAGGUAAUGCAGCGGCCGCGGCUUGACCUUGAAGAGGUGGCGAGCUGAGGGCGUAGACCCUGGCCGACUGAGCGCAGCCCAAAUGAGGAUGGAAAGACAGGGUGGUGCAGAGGGUCGGGGAAGCGAAGCGAGACCUCUGAGGCCUCCGGGGACGAGGCAGAGGACUCUAACUGGAUUGGAACCGGAGGGCUGGAACUUUCUCGGGUGCCACACGCGACCAAGCUUAUCUGGACCGGAGAUGCUGGACGGAAUCCCUCAGUGCAGGGUGCCCAGGACGGAGUCCAGCCGGGCUGACUACACCUGCUGCUGAGCAUCUACCCGGUGCGCACACUGCAUCCGUUACUGCUGCGGUGCCCGAGUGAACACCGCGGCCUGAGUCAGCUAACGUGACCGGAGCACCCGAGUUGGCUAGCGACAGGGAUGGGACUUGCACGCGUCUCUGCAGCUCUGGCACCAGUCACCCUUGUAGUGGAUGACUUUCCGCUGCUGCUGCUCCUGACUACCUUGCUUCUUGUCUGGGCCAUUUCCUGCUCUAUUGAGCAUACACCUUUCACCUCCAGACUCUCCCAGCCAGGUUUGGGGCACCCAAAACCGCCAGGAACCAAGGUGCAGCCAGAGUUCCCUGCUUACCCAUGCAAAGGCGCGCUGCGGGGGCCCACGGUGGCCUCGGCCGGCACAGGGGCACAGACCUGCAAUCCCAGCACUUAGGAAGCUGAGAUCGGAGGGGUCAUGGGUCCUGGACCACAAGGCAAGAAUGCGACUGACACCACAACAAAAAAUAUUACUCUUCCCUCUUCGAUACUGCAAUUGCCACGAAAUAACUGUGCCACACUGUUGAACUAAAAUGUAGAUGUUAGCACGCAGGACUAAGCAGGAUCGCCGGGCCCACCAAGGUGGCUGUCCAGAAGACCUUCCCAGGUCAGAAAGGGGAGUCGAGGCAGCAACGUGGUGCAUAGGGGCACAGGAGCUGAGCAACAGCCAGGUGGGCUUGGGUGAAGGUCAAGAGUGCAGGUGGGGCUGCGAGGGUUUUAGCUCAGUGUUGUAAGUGCCCUUGCAAGUGCAAAGUCCUGAGUUCAAUCCCCAGUACCAAAAAAAAGUGCAGGUGGGGAGAGGGAGGCUGCAGGGAGGCAGCAGCCAACCUGCAGCAUGGCCCACAGUUUUGCACCCAUCCUGGGGAGCUGGGAAAGCACCCCCUUCAGACAGGAGCUGAGAGAAAGCACACCACAACCCAGAGCUCUCAGCACUGGCGAAGAAGCUGGGGGUGAGGAUUCCGCCCUGUGGCUUCUCACAAAGCCACAUCUGAGUCCGGUUAGGAAAUGAAAAUGGUAGCACCUAACCCAAGAUGCUUCUGGUGUCUGUAAGGUUAGAAAUGAGGAAAUACUUUGAGCUUUUUCUUGCACUUGAUUCAGGACACAUCAGGGCAGCCAGACCUGCUGGGUGGUGUACAUGUUAUCCUAGUAGUAAAGGAGGCUGAGGCAGAAGAAUCACUUUGAGUUCGAGGCCAGCCUGAGCAACAGUGCAACCCCAUCUCAAAAAGAGUGGGACUGGAGAGAGAAAAGUGCCACCUCCCAGUCAUUAGGAGACAACAACCAGAAAGCAAUAAGGCUUGGCAGGAGUGUGAGGAAAUGGGAACCUUUGUUCACUGCCUCUGGGAAGGUAAAAUGUGGCAGCCACUUUGGGGGACAGUAUGGUGACUCCUGAAACAAUUUAAAAUAGAAUUACCAUGUGGUCCAGCAAUUCCACUUCUGGCAGAUAUCUCAGAAGGGAGAGCAGGGUCCUGGCAGCUAGGCAAGGCGGUGUGCACCUCUAGUCCCAGCUGCGUGGGAGGCUGAGACAGGAAGGCCAUCCCUGCGGGCUGCCCUCCCCCUUUCCCACUUCUUCAUGCUGCUUCCUUCCCUUCACAGUGUUCACUGAGAGUCUACUUCGUGGGGAGCAGGAAAGGCACCUCCCAGGUGUCAUGGGGCGCACGUAAAAGUCAGGACCAGCAGCACUUCAGAACACAGGCACCGUGAAAAGAUUUAAAGGGAGGAAUGAUGGAGACCGAGGUCUCUGUGUAGUUUCAAUCUCACUGGUGUUUUUCUUUACAGUAGUAGAUACACAGUGCAGGCUAAAAAGGUAGGAAGGCACACACAGCUCUUAAACCGCGCCCCUCCGUCCUUCAGCAGUUGUUUUUUUUUUUUGUGUGUGUGUGUGUGUGCUUUCCCUACAUAGUCCAGGCUGGCCUCAAACUAGCGGCAUCCUCUGCCUCAUCCUCCCUAACCUGGGGUUACAGGCCUGCACCAACAUUCUGGACCGAUUUUUGCUUUUCAAAACACCAUUAAAAGGGAGUAAAAAGGCCUCAACCUGGGAGAUGUUAUAGAUCAUAAGGAUUCAGACCCAUCCUACAUAAAGAAUAUCCACAAUUUGGGCCGAGGAUUUAGCUCAGCAGCAUAAGCACCUGCCUGGCAAGCAGGAGGUCAUGAAUUCAACCCCAGUACCAAAAAAAUUAACAACUUAAGAAUAUCCGCAAUUUGCCAAGAUCAACAACCUAGUGGAACCAUAGACAAAAGAUAAGAACAAAUUGGGCUUUCUCUUGACAACUGGAAGCGGGAAGCCUGCCUGGUGGCCAGGCCAAGAUCCAGCACCAGCUUCGGAUCGGGUCGGAGAGUAGGCUUCUAGCUCUUAGGCAACUUCCUAGCUCCAGCUCUGCAGGGUCUUCCUCUGGGGGGAGGAAGAGGGCAGCCCUCUCUGGGGUCCCCCAGCACUUGUGACCUCUUCACCUCCCCAAGCUCACAAUCACCCUGCACCCCUGGCCAAAACCAGGAACACUGCCCCGAACACGUGUAGGAAUAUCCAGAGCACUGCAGCUUCUUUGGAAUCACUCUGGAAAUGCCCAAGUGUCUGUCUGCGGAGCAGAGAAUAAGGCGCAUGCGCACCAAGAAACGGCAGUGGUGAAGUAACUGCACUUGAGCUUCCCAAGCGAUUUCGGAAAAUAAUCUCUUGGUAGAGAGAUAAGAGAUAAAGCAACUCAUGGCAGAGGCACAACAUGAUUCCACAUGGAGCAAAGCAUGGGGUCAAGCUAUUGAAGGAAAAAAAAAAAAAAAGCCAGGCGCCAUGGUGCAGGGCCAUAACCUUGGCACUCGGGAGGAGACAAGAGGAUGAAUGCAAGUUCGAGGCCAGCCUUGUCUCAAAAAUCCAAAUCAAGCCAAAACCACACACAAGCUGCACAUGGUGCAUGGUGGCGUAUGCCUGUAAUUCUAGCACUCUGGGAAGCUGAGGCUGAAGGAUCUCAGGCGAGAGGAUCUGAUCCCAGCUGAGGCAAGUAGUACUGAGAAUUGAAUCCAGGAUCUUGUGCACGUUAAACAUGUACUCUACAUCCAUGCCACGCUAAGCUAAAUUCAGAAUGGAUCAAAGAUCCUCAUAUUGAACCCAAAUGUUAAAUCGCCCGGAAGAUGGAGUAGUAACCCUCCUGAAGACAUUGGUGUAGGCAAAGACUCUGUGAACAAAACCCCAACUGCACAGGAAAUGUCACAGGUAUUGACAACUGGGAUCUCACCCUACCAGAAAGGUUUUGCACAGCAAGAGAAACCACCAACAGAGUGAAGAGACAACUCAGAACAUGGGAGAAAAGGUUUGCCAGCUGUUCCUCAGACAAAGGAUUACCAUCGAGAACAUAUAAAGAACUCAAACAAAUCAGUCCUCCCAGAUGUAAAGACCUAACCCAAAAGUGGGCAUCUGAGAUGAAUACACACUUCUCAGAUGAAGAAACACAAACAGCAAAGAAAUAUGUGAAGAAUGUUCAACAUCACUGGUCCUUUGAGACAUGCAAAUUAAAACAACACUGAGAUUCCCCCUCACCCCAGAAAGAAUCACUACCAGAAAGAGAUCAAGAACAAAUGCUGGAGGGGCUGUGGGGAAAAAGGAACCCUUAAGGCUCCACUGUGGGUGGGGUGAAGACUGGUGCAGCCACUGUGGAAAUCAGGGUGGAGAGUCCUCAAAAAACUAGGACUACAGGUCUCUUUCAACCCAGCUAUUCCUACUCUUGGCACCCAAACAAUUAAAAAGUCAUACUGGGGUUGGGGAUUUAGCUCAGCAGUUCAGGCACUUGCCUAGUAUGUGCAAGGUUGUGAGUUCGAUCCCUGGUACCAAAAAAAAAAAAAAUCAUACCACAGCUAUAUAUGUGCACCCAUGUGUAUAGCAGCACAAUUUGUAAUACCCAGAUCUCGGAAACAACCCAAAUGCCUACCAACUGAGGAACAGAUAAAAAAGAUGUGAUAUUUUUAUACAAUGAGCACUACUUGGCCAUAAGAAUAAACUGGAGACUUUUAUAGGUAAAUGAAGGCAACUUGAAACCAUGCUCAUUAGUGAAAUAAAUCAGACUCACAUGUGUAAACAUCAUGUCUUAAUAGUGUGAAAGCUGAAAGAUACAUCUGUGCAACAUCUCUACCCUUCAACUGAUGACUCUAUUUUGAGUAUUUUUUUCAGUACUGGGGGAUGGAACCCAAAGCCCUGUACCUGCUAGGAAAGCACACUAUCUCUAAACUCUAACCUCAGCCCAAAUUUUAGCUUUUUUGUGGCCUUGAGCUCACUGUGUAGCCCAGGCUGGCCUUGAACUCACAGUUUUCUCCUGCCUCAGCCUCCUGAGUGCUGGGAUUACAGGCAUGUACUACCAAGUCCAGCCCUCUUUUGCCUGUUUUUGUUUUAUUUUAUUUUAUUUUUUGAGACAGGGUCUCACUACGUAGUUCACGCUAGCCUUGAGCUCACUGCAUAGCCCAGGCUGGCCUCAAACUUGCAGCAAUCCUCCUGCCUCAGCCUCCAACUGCUGGGACUACAGUCAUGCACCACUGGUUUUUUCCUUUUUUGGAGUACCAAGUUGCCUGUUUUUAAAUCGUCGUUUUGUUGCUGUUGAGUUGUCUGAGUUCCCUAUGUAGUUUGGAUAUCAGCCCCAUAUCUGUGUUUGAUUUACAAGCAUUUCUCCUGAUCCGAGGGUCCCCUUCACUGUCUUUCCUUUGUUAUGCUGUGCUCUUCACUUUGA